CAAACAUGUCAAUCACUCAUGGCACGCAAUGAAUACAUAUUGGAGAGUUGUUGUCUGUAUCUACGGCAGCGAAUGAGAGGGGUGAACACCAUGACCACACGAGGGCAGUGAUGUCCAUUAUUUUCCAGACUGACCGUUACAAUAACUGCAUUUUGUUCGGGGGCAAAACACGUUAACAGGUUUAACAAAAGCAUGUGGACAGUAGUUGGCAUGUUGGCCUCUGUGUGCCCCACUGGGACCGGCGGCUGCUGAUCCACAGAGGAAUACACAAGCCCCUCUAGGAACAUGCUCGAUUCACCUAUCCUCUCCUUUCACCAGGAUGCACGCACACAGACCCUUCUGUCCUCAUCCAUUUUGGAUAGUGUGUCUGGGAGGUGCAUAGGAGUGUCUGGGAGGUGCAUAGGAGUGUCUGGGAGGUGCAUAGGAGUGUCUGGGAGGUGCAUAGGAGUGUCUGGGGGGUGCAUAGGAGUGUCUGGGAGGUGCAUAGGAGUGUCUGGGAGGUGCAUAGGAGUGUCGUUGCAACCUCAUCUGACUACAGAAAAAUCACUCAAGCUUUGUCAUUCAAGUUAAUAAUAAUAAUAAUAAGCCAUUUAGCAGACGCUUUUAUCCAAAGCGACUUACAGUCAUGUGUGCAUACAUUCUACGUAUGGGUGAUCCCGGGAAUCAAACCCACUACCCUGGCGUUACAAGCACCAUGCUCUACCAACUGAGCUACAUAAGUUUAGUGAUAAAAAUUACUUUUGUGGUACUAUAGUUUUUUUAUUUUAUUUUAUUUCACCUUUAUUUAACCAGGUAGGCUAGUUGAGAACAAGUUCUCAUUUGCAACUGCGACCUGGCCAAGAUAAAGCAUAGCAGUGUGAACAGACAACACAGUUACACAUGGAGUAAACAAUUAGCAAGUCAAUAACACAGUAGAAAAAAAAUGGGCAGUCUUUUUGGGUAAACUGUCAUUAGAAUGAAGUUAUAUUGUUUUGGCUGGGAUUCAACUCGCUCAGUAUUCAAAACAGGUACUAUAGGUUGUGUUUGGGACGGCUCUCUAUUUUUCUCUGUACCAAUAGGGCAGGAAAUGUCUACUUUGCGAGGAUUUCAAAGUCCUACUUGAGUUGUUAGUUAGUGCUUAUUGUAUGCAAACCUUUGGAGUAUGUGCAUAAAUCCUAAUGUGUGGCCGAUCUGAUAAGACCAGGUAUAUGUAACUGAGAUUAGGUCAUAUCAUAAAACGUGUGUUUUUGUCCAGCCAAAUACAAAUAUGAGAAACAUUUGGAUGAUGCAUCUAAUUCCACAUCUAUCUCAGUAGUUUCAUUGCAUAUUGUCCAGAACAAUCCUGAUUGUAAAGAAGAUGAGACAAUAAAUGAUGA